AUUAGAUUCAGACCAUGAAACGAGAUAAUUCUCUCUUCUGAAGGACGCCUUCUCCUUAUUUAAGCCUGUGCUAAUUACAUUUCGAUGUAUCUUGCUUUCUAUCGAGCAGGAUACCAAACAAAAAUAUUACAUAGAGAUGCAGUACCAACAAUAUUCACUCACAUAUCUCACAUAAGGUAAAGUUAUAACGACCAGAGCCGACACUAUACACUUCUAAAGAAAGUGAACAAGAGGAAAUAUUUUUUUUUAUCACCAAAAGUCGGAAUUGUUCAGUGCUUCGUAGUCAUUGUAUUCUAACUAUAUUGAAUAAAAAUCUUAUAAAGAA
rnacentral:lncRNA from 1 species